GUCCACGCCGUAAACGAUGGAUACUAGCUGUUGGGGCAACUUCAGUGGCUAAGCGAAAGUGAUAAGUAUCCCACCUGGGGAGUACGGGCGCAAGCCUGAAACUCAAAGGAAUUGACGGGGCCCGCACAAGCGGUGGAGCAUGUGGUUUAAUUCGAUGAUACGCGAGGAACCUUACCAAGGCUUAAAUGUAGAUUGACCGAUUUUGGAAACAGAUCUUUCGCAAGACAAUUUACAAGGUGCUGCAUGGUUGUCGU
rnacentral:rRNA from 1 species